UACGAACUGUGCGAACGUUACUCGGAAUCACUGGGCUUAAAGGGUGCGUAGGCGGCUCUUCAAGUCGGGUGUGAAAGUCUCCGGCCUAACCGGAGAAUUGCGCCCGAAACUAGAGGGCUUGAGUGCGCUAGGGGUGUGCGGAACUUCCGGUGGAGCGGUGAAAUGUGUUGAUAUCGGAAGGAACGCCGGUGGCGAAAGCGGCACACUGGGGCGCAACUGACGCUGAGGCACGAAAGCCAGGGGAGCGAACGGG
rnacentral:misc_RNA from 1 species